GACGAACGCUGGCGGCGUGCUUAACACAUGCAAGUCGAACGAUGAAGCCAGCUUGCUGGUGGAUUAGUGGCGAACGGGUGAGUAACACGUGGGUGAUCUGCCCCAAACUUUGGGAUAAGCCUGGGAAACUGGGUCUAAUACCGAAUAUGACCACGGAAUGCAUGUUUUGUGGUGGAAAGCUCCGGCGGUUUGGGAUGGGCCCGCGGCCUAUCAGCUUGUUGGUGGGGUAAUGGCCUACCAAGGCGACGACGGGUAGCCGGCCUGAGAGGGCGACCGGCCACACUGGGACUGAGACACGGCCCAGACUCCUACGGGAGGCAGCAGUGGGGAAUAUUGCACAAUGGGCGCAAGCCUGAUGCAGCGACGCCGCGUGAGGGAUGACGGCCUUCGGGUUGUAAACCUCUUUCACCAGGGACGAAGCGAAAGUGACGGUACCUGGAGAAGAAGCACCGGCCAACUACGUG
rnacentral:rRNA from 1 species